rnacentral:rRNA from 1 species
GACGAACGCUGGCGGCGUGCUUAACACAUGCAAGUCGAACGGAAAGGCCCUGCUUUUGUGGGGUGCUCGAGUGGCGAACGGGUGAGUAACACGUGAGUAACCUGCCCUUGACUUUGGGAUAACUUCAGGAAACUGGGGCUAAUACCGGAUAGGAGCUCCUGCUGCAUGGUGGGGGUUGGAAAGUUUCGGCGGUUGGGGAUGGACUCGCGGCUUAUCAGCUUGUUGGUGGGGUAGUUGCUUACCAAGGCUUUGACUGGUCGCCGGCCUGGGAGGGUGACCGGGCACAAUGGGACUGAGAGACGGACCAGACUCCUACGGGAGGCAGCAGUGGGGAAUAUUGCACAAUGGGCGGAAGUCUGAUGCAGCAACGCCGCGUGCGGGAUGACGGCCUUCGGGUUGUAAACCGCUUUCGCCUGUGACGAAGCGUGAGUGACGGUAAUGGGUAAAGAAGCACCGGCUAACUACGUG